rnacentral:snoRNA from 1 species
UCUCUAGUGACAAACCUUAGUUUAAAAAAUCAAAUGUUCCCAGAGCCUGUAAAGGUGAACCCACUGGGGCUGACUGGGGGAGAAGAGGAAAAUUUGUUCCAGAAGGAGCUGUCUGAGGGAU